UACGUAGGGGGCAAGCGUUAUCCGGAUUUACUGGGUGUAAAGGGAGCGUAGACGGCGCGGCAAGUCUGAAGUGAAAGGCAGGGGCUUAACCCCUGAACUGCUUUGGAAACUGGCAUGCUAGAGUGCCGGAGGGGCAAGCGGAAUUCCUAGUGUAGCGGUGAAAUGCGUAGAUAUUAGGAGGAACACCGGUGGCGAAGGCGGCUUGCUGGACGGUAACUGACGUUGAGGCUCGAAAGCGUGGGGAGCAAACAGG
rnacentral:rRNA from 1 species